GAUGAACGCUGGCGGCGUGCCUAAUACAUGCAAGUCGAGCGAACAGACGAGGAGCUUGCUCCUCUGACGUUAGCGGCGGACGGGUGAGUAACACGUGGAUAACCUGCCUAUAAGACUGGGAUAACUUCGGGAAACCGGAGCUAAUACCGGAUAAUAUAUUGAACCGCAUGGUUCAAUAGUGAAAGACGGUUUUGCUGUCACUAAUAGAUGGAUCCGCGCCGCAUUAGCUAGUUGGUAAGGUAACGGCUUACCAAGGCAACGAUGCGUAGCCGACCUGAGAGGGUGAUCGGCCACACUGGAACUGAGACACGGUCCAGACUCCUACGGGAGGCAGCAGUAGGGAAUCUUCCGCAAUGGGCGAAAGCCUGACGGAGCAACGCCGCGUGAGUGAUGAAGGUCUUCGGAUCGUAAAACUCUGUUAUUAGGGAAGAACAAAUGUGUAAGUAACUAUGCACGUCUUGACGGUACCUAAUCAGAAAGCCACGGCUAACUACGUG
rnacentral:rRNA from 1 species